rnacentral:rRNA from 1 species
UACGUAGGGUGCGAGCGUUGUCCGGAAUUAUUGGGUGUAAAGGGCUCGUAGGCGGUCUGUUACGUCGGGAGUGAAAACUCGGGGCUCAACCCCGAGCCUGCUUCCGAUACGGGCAGACUAGAGGUAUGCAGGGGAGAAUGGAAUUCCUGGUGUAGCGGUGAAAUGCGCAGAUAUCAGGAGGAACACCGGUGGCGAAGGCGGGUCUCUGGGCCGUAACUGACGCUGAGGAGCGAAAGCGUGGGGAGCGAACAGG